UUGUAAGAUUACAUCUUAGUGCUCUGUAUCAGUUUUGUAUUUUUAAAGCUAGGAAUAGUGCACGAAGCGGAAUGUCCGUCACAUUUUUGACGUAGCUUGAUUUCAGUGGUCGAAAAAAUAUUCCAUUAAUCGAUCCAUAAAGAAUUUUUUCGAUUGUUAAAAUUGCCAUGUUUGAACGCGGCGACUGAACCGAUAAAGCAAGUGGAGUGUCUGCGACAAAGAGAAAGGAUACAUUGCAGGAUGCGCGCGCAAGUGAGGUUAACCUUCAAGGGAAUCUGAACGCGCGUAAUGCUGCCUAUCGAAGCAUACGAAAUAAUAUAUAUGCAUUGUGUGUUGGGAAACGUUAAUUCCGCCAUGUUAACUCAUCUUUCGAUAUUUAUCCGGAGAAUUUUUCCAUACAAGCUGAAUAUAUUUUUCCAGAUACUCGCACAGUUCUAGAUAAAUCGGAUAAGCUGUAUAAUGGGUAUAAAAGCGAUGGUUUGCUGGAACGUUUUUAGGUGCACCCUAUUCCAAGUGGAACUAACGAUCACAAGAAGAAAAACUGACCGGGUAAACAUAAUUUCACCGAAACAAAGGAGAAAGGAGGAAACCGAUAGUAAUCGAUGCGUCAUGGUACAAUGCUUCCCCAUUUGUAUUCAAGCAAUAACGAGAAAAAGCUGCAAGUUUUUGCUAACUUCUCGUUAUCGUUCGCGCGAAAUUUCCGUUUUAUGCUGCAUCGAACGUAUAUUCGAACAUUAAUCUUUCACCGACUUUAAGAAUUGCCUAGAAAGAAACUAUCUUCGCAUUAAUCGAGAGAGGCUCACCGUUUCGGUUUCGGUUUCGGAGUGUAAGGUUCUGAGUUUUCAUGCAUAGUCUGGAGCACGAGAGGAUUAAAACGAAAAAUCUCUUUACAUAUUUUAACAGCAGGUUAUCGGAGUGCUUUGAUGAAAUUCAAAUGUAUAUUAAAAGCAUUCUCGAUUGUUCUUUUUUCCCAUGGUUAUCGAUCUACACACAUUUGCCUAAACGCGCUAGAAGAUAUUAAUAUCGUCGAAAACACGUUUUGUUUCAGACAAUUUUUCAGAGGAGAAUGGAUAUUAAAAGCAAGCGGCGUAUAAUUUGAAAUCAAUAGAGUUGUGCUCGACGUUUAAUAGGAUAGUGGUUUUCGACCCAGAUAUUAUUUUAACCCUGCACAAUAAUUAAUCGGCAGCGUGUGGCAGUUCUAAUUUGUCGAUUGCAACCCUCGUCUGGAUCUUUAAAAUGAGGAAUGAAUUCAUUAGUAGCCGUAGCCGAGAGGGAAAAAGAAAAUUACAAGAUUGUUAACCGAAGCCGCGAGUUGGACGAGGUCAAAGGUGCAAUCUCAAUUUUCUACAUCUCCUUCAAUUACAUCCCCGAGGCAUUAAUCUUCGCGAAG